rnacentral:rRNA from 1 species
UUCCAGACUCCUACGGGAGGCAGCAGUGAGGAAUAUUGGUCAAUGGGCGGGAGCCUGAACCAGCCAAGUCGCGUGAGGGAAGACGGUCCUAUGGAUUGUAAACCUCUUUAGGCGGGGAGCAAUGCCGGGCACGCGUGUCCGGAGGGAGAGUACCCGCAGAAUAAGCAUCGGCUAACUCCGUGCCAGCAGCCGCGGUAAUACGGAGGAUGCGAGCGUUAUCCGGAUUUAUUGGGUUUAAAGGGUGCGUAGGCGGUUUUUUAAGUUAGUGGUUAAACGUCGGGGCUUCACCUUGAUUUGCCAUUAAUACUGUAAGACUUGAGUUCAGACGAGGUAGGCGGAAUAAGUUAAGUAGCGGUGAAAUGCUUAGAUAUAACUUAGAACUCCGAUAGCGAAGGCAGCUUACCAGACUGCGACUGACGCUGAAGCACGAGAGCGUGGGUAGCGAACAGGAUUAGAUACCCGAGUACG